CUCAUCGAGCUCAUCCUCUGUGGCGAACUGGGAACAAGUCGGAGUGGUUGGGGUCCGCCGGUGGUAUUAAUUCGACUCGGAUAUCGACACCUUCAGUUAAGUCGAGAGAGAUGUCGCUGCCCAAGCCCCAGCUCCGGAACCUACUGCAGGGCGUCAUCAAGCGCAAUCUGGCGAUGACAGCCGGCGUCUGCACUGUCGCCGUCUCCUCCUACUAUUUCCUGGUGAAGCAGCCCAGGCAGCAGAAGUACGCCGAAUUCUACAAGAACUACGAUGCGGAGGCGGAGUUCGAGCGGAUGAGGAAGCUGGGCUUGUUCCAGUCUUGCUCCAAGGAUGAUUGAUCACAGAUUGUUUAUCCCUAUAUCCAUUGUGCUGGCGAGAAUGCGGUGAAUAACUGUGGCAAUGACUGGACUAGAAGACGUCAGCGCUUUCCACACGAAUAAAGCACUGUACCGACC